ensembl:lncRNA LINC02013 long intergenic non-protein coding RNA 2013
ACUUGUUAUCAUACUUUGGACUUCUUAGCAUGGUUCAGGAGGUUUAUUUCAAGUAUCAACCUCUCCUACACACACACACGCACACCACCUGAUGUUCCUCACAGUGAGUGUCUAUCAUGGCUGUAAACGUGUUCCUGCCCAAGGAAGAGGAUCUCUGUAACCCCUCUCAUACUUCCUAUUGCCCAGGACACUGGACCUGCAAUGCCUCCUAUGAGACUACAUACAGUGGGCGUGUUAUGGAUGGCUGAAGCACAGCACGUUCGCGCAGGGAGAGAGAAGCCAGAGAUUUAACCGGAAGAACUACAUUGUUUCCAGCCCCCAAGCUGUCCUUGCGCAUCCCUGGGCGGAGGCUGAACCAACUUUGGGAGGAGCCUGGUUUACAGUCUACAGUCUAAAACAAAGAUGAAAACAGCUGCUUCCCAAGAUAACUUCCCUCUUGCCUGGGGACCAGACCAAGAAACUAGCCACAGGAUUAGAAACCAUGGCCCAGGAGCCAUGCAGCUGGAGGUUACAAGAUUUUGACCCUCCCUAAACUGCUCUCAAGAUUGGUGCUUAAGAUAUUUUGUAAACCAUGCCCUUGAUGAUCAGUUGGCACCACCCAGAUUGACAAACUGGCUUAUCUGAUUUAGCACCAGAAGACAGCCACUAUUGUAAAAUAGCAGAGACUAAAACAAAGUAUUGCCAUGCAGUUACAGAUUAUGUUCCCAAGGACAUGAAACGAGAUGGAGGCCUGUAGCCAAUUUUGUUACUAACCGUUUUGUUGGGCUGGCUUGAACAGCAGGCUUUUGGGGUCCUGGGCCUGCAUCCUAACCUAAGAUACCCUUUCUUUGACAGAACCAUAGAGAAAGAUGUGCAAAGCACCCAAGAUUGUCUACAGCUUAAGACCAACAAGUUCUUUUUCAUUAAUUAUACAUUUACAGAGAACAUAAA